rfam:Cavia porcellus supercont2_15 genomic scaffold, whole genome shotgun sequence.
GUGACCCUGAAUCAAGUCCUGCAUUUGCUGUAGCUACUGGUUUCAAAAAGGAACCUAAUGAGAAGCCUUCUUAGGGUUUCUUGGUCAUUUCAGAACUUUGAAAAUGUAAUGAUCAAUUCACUAGAAACAGCUUAG